GUUCAUGUGACAGCUCUUUCUGUGACUUGUCAUGCCGUGAAUAGCAGAGCAACAGCCUUUCAGCACUCAACCAUGUCACUGCCUGCCUUGCUUUUGAUGGAACUGGGGGCAGCUCGAGUGUCCUUCCCUCCAUCUGGAGAAGUCCCAGGGAGCCCCUGUCCUGCCCCACAGGUGGAGACAGGGCCAAGGCAGGGGUCUGGAUCGUCAGCUUGUGCCCCAACAGACCAGCUUCCCAGAAGAAUUUUGUAGAAAAUCCCUGGAACUUAAGGCUGCACUGAGGUCUUUUUCCUUUGCCUCUGAAUGCAGACCCAGCCUUGCUCAAGGUGGUUGCUGUUCACAGCUGAGUCUCCUGAGAGGAUUAGUAAUACAACUAAUGAAGACUAAUAAUGCAGGCCUUUGGCAGCAAACUGAAAGCCACCAGCUGGAAGAUAUCCCACACCACAUCUUGAAGCAGCCAUCACAGUGUCUGCAAGCUUGACAUGUCCUUCCCUCCUCUGAGCACCUUGUGACAGCACAGCAAAUAAACC